CUUAGAUGUUGACCGAAGGUUGCUGGAGCUCCGCCUCUCCUCCUUCACGUUACGCGCAAUCGUAACAUGAUGAAAUGCGUUUGCCGGCUCGCGUGAGUGAAUUGGAAAAUACAAUUUGCACGACACCGGGUCCUCGGGUCGGCUCACGUUACCGUCGUUUCCAUCGCUUACAUGGGGAACCGUGCGAGGGCACCGCUGUAGCACGCAAGGGUUCGUUUACGUAAGCAACACGCUAACGUAUCCAGAAACCUGUUAAACCAGAGGGAGCUGUGUAAGUAACGCAUUGGAAUCUGUGGAUGAAGAUGGUGCCCGGUGCUCAUCUUCAAUAAGCGUACUUACGCUGAUCAGCCACAAAGCAACACAGACAGACAUGCAUCGCACACACACAGAAAAAGAGAAAACUAUCUAUAUAUAUUACCUUUUGUAGAAAUACUUUAAUCAAAUGUAUCAAUAGUUUAGUAUAGUUCCAAAAAGCCUCUCUUGUCAUUAAUCAGAAUAACAAAGAAUGUGUCUUUGCACGUGUUAGAGUUAACGACCACUUGGUAAUUUGUAUUUCUCUAUGACCGCGUCAGCGUGAGGACAUGUGAACGGGUCCCUUGUUGUUCUCACACAGAUGAGCUGCGUCUUUGUUGGGCCGUCCGGCUCACAGCUUCUCCGGUGAUGAGUUCCUCCGCAUGCAUCCAGCCUCCCUCAGUGGAAGAGGACCCCCACCAACUCCACCUCAUAAUUACCGCUAAUCUGGACAAUGAAGCUCACAUGAUUACCAUAUUAAUGGUCUUGAUGGUGAUGCAGAUAAUCCAUGGGGGGGUUCUAUGAAGGAGCAGGAGCCGGACUGUUGACAAGAACAAAACUUAACCCGUUUCAAUACUUCAUUAGCCUCUUUCUCCUUCGACGCUCUCAUUCACUCCGUUUCUCUCCUCUCUCCCUCUGCCAGGAGGCAGGAGGGUUCAGGAGGAAGGCGCUGACGCUCCACCUGCUGGCUCCCUGUGGCCGGGUGAUUGGGAGGCAUUUCUUUCUCCCUAUUCUUGAUAUUACUCCAGCUGUCUUGUUGCUCCACGUGCUUGGAUUUUAAGUAAGACAUUUUUGUGGGUUUUAACAACAGGUGGUUCUUACAGUGGUCGUUUCAGCUGGAAAAAAGUUGUUUAGGACUCUCAGAAAAAUUGCUGGAGGUUAAAAAGGGGAAGGUGACAAAUCAAAAGACAAAGCAAAAGGUUGUUGACUGUUUCAGCCUCGAAUAAACAGGUGUGGUGUGCAAAAACAAUCCCAGCUGGAAGGCCUACGCCAACUCUAAGAGCUCCUGAUGGCGUUUGGAAAAUUCCACCGCGAACGAUGAAAAGCAACAAAUCAGAGGCGAUUGCAAAACAUACAUUUCUUGAUUGGUUUUGUAUUUUUAGAGGGAAGUGGUUGUUGAAGACAUAAG
ensembl:lncRNA